GUAGGUGAACCUGCGGAAGGAUCAUUAACACGUAUCCAACGUUAAAAACCCCCCCCGUGAAUGGUUGCAAUCCCUGGUAAAUCAUUGCCGAACAGUUUUGAUUCAGGGACAUCAAGCACGUUAGUAGAGGCGCUGCAACAGACGGGUUCCACGACCCCAAGGAGUCAAAAGCUGUCAGCAGUGAGGGAGUCAGUCAGGGGGUUGUUAAAGUGUUCCUGAUUGUCAUCUUGUAAGUUGAAAUUGAUUUUGUAGACCACCCCAGGUGGGUCACUGACGGCCGUGAUGGUGCCUAUAGGUACGAACUAGCGCCCUGACCUCUUGAAACGACAGGGGCGUAACCGGACCAAUUUUUAAUCUGCCCCUUACCCUAACAGGUACGGGUGUCAAACGAACAACUGUUAACAAUGGAUAUCUUGGUUCUC
rnacentral:misc_RNA from 1 species